rnacentral:rRNA from 1 species
AGAGUUUGAUCCUGGCUCAGGACGAACGCUGGCGGCGUGCUUAAUACAUGCAAGUCAUAGGGGCUAAUUUCCUUCGGGAGAUUGGUCACUGGCGCACGGGUGCGUAACGCGUAAGUUAUCUGCCCUUGGGUCUGGCAUAACGUCGGGAAACCGGCGCUAAUUCCAGAUGAUAUCGUAAGAUCAAAGCCUUCGGGCGCCCAAGGAUGAGCUUGCGUCUGAUUAGCUUGUUGGCGGGGUAAUGGCCCACCAAGGCAACGAUCAGUAGCCGGCCUGAGAGGAUGAUCGGCCACAUUGGGACUGAGACACGGCCCAGACUCCUACGGGAGGCAGCAGUAAGGAAUAUUGCGCAAUGGACGAAAGUCUGACGCAGCAACGCCGCGUGCAGGAUGAAGGCCCUUUGGGUUGUAAACUGCUGUAGAAAGGGAAUAAUAGUUUGCCACGGGUGAACUUGGAGGUACCUUUAAAGUAAGCGCCGGCUAACUACGUGCCAGCAGCCGCGGUAAUACGUAGGGCGCAAGCGUUGUCCGGAUUCACUGGGUGUAAAGGGUGCGCAGGCGGAUUGGCAAGUCAGAGGUGAAAUCUCACGGCUCAACCGUGAAACUGCCUUUGAUACUGCUUAUCUUGAGUUCGGGAGAGGUUGAUGGAAUUCCAGGUGUAGCGGUGAAAUGCGUAGAUAUCUGGAAGAACACCAGUGGCGAAGGCGGUCAACUGGCCCGCAACUGACGCUCAUGCACGAAAGCGUGGGGAUCAAACAGGAUUAGAUACCCCGGUAGU